rnacentral:rRNA from 1 species
ACGGGAGGCAGCAGUGGGGAAUAUUGCACAAUGGGCGAAAGCCUGAUGUAGCGACGCCGCGUGAGUGAAGAAGUAUUUCGGUACGUAAAGCUCUAUCAGCAGGGAAGAUAAUGACGGUACCUGACUAAGAAGCCCCGGCUAACUACGUGCCAGCAGCCGCGGUAAUACGUAGGGGGCAAGCGUUAUCCGGAUUUACUGGGUGUAAAGGGAGUGUAGGUGGCCUGGCAAGCCAGAUGUGAAAGCCCGCAGCUCAACUGCGGGACUGCAUUUGGAACUGUUAGGCUUGAGUGCAGGAGAGGAAAGUGGAAUUCCUAGUGUAGCGGUGAAAUGCGUAGAUAUUAGGAGGAACACCAGUGGCGAAGGCGGCUUUCUGGACUGUAACUGACACUGAGGCUCGAAAGCGUGGGGAGCAAACAGGAUUAGAUACCCUGGUA